GUAGUUGGAUCUUGGGAUCAAGCCUAUGGUCCGCCAUGAGGCAAGCUACCGUCUGUCCCAGCCCGUGCCUCUAGGCGCUACUUUGAUGCUCUUAGCUAAGUGGCCCAUGGUGACUGAAGCCUUUACUUUGAAAUAUUCGAGUUCAAAGCUUGCAGUCACCACAGCUAGCAAAGAUGGAAUAGGAUUCUGUCCCUUUGUGUGCUUUUUCUCUGAACUGCAGCCACGAUUUACAGGGAUGUCCAUGAGCAAUGCUAUUGGUCUGCUAGAGGUGAAAUUCCUGGACCACUACAAGAUGAUGGACAAAGCAACUGCAUUUGCCAAGAAUGUUUUCAUUAAUUUG
rnacentral:ncRNA from 1 species